rnacentral:rRNA from 1 species
GUGGGGAAUAUUGGGCAAUGGGCGAAAGCCUGACCCAGCGACGCCGCGUGAGGGAUGAAGGUCUUCGGAUUGUAAACCUCUUUCAGUAGGGAAGAAGCGAAAGUGACGGUACCUAAAGAAGAAGCACCGGCUAACUCUGUGCCAGCAGCCGCGGUAAUACAGAGGGUGCAAGCGUUAAUCGGAAUUACUGGGCGUAAAGCGUGCGUAGACGGUUGUUUAAGUCGGAUGUGAAAUCCCCGGGCUCAACCUGGGAAUUGCAUUCGAGACUGAUCAGCUAGGGUACGGAAGAGGGAAGCGGAAUUUCCGGUGUAGCGGUGAAAUGCGUAGAUAUCGGAAGGAACAUCAGUGGCGAAAGCGGCUUCCUGGUCCAGUACCGACGUUCAGGCACGAAAGCGUGGGGAGCAAACAGGAUUAGAAACCCGAGUAGUCC